UUUGAAGAUCAGCGGCGGACGGGUGAGUAACACGUGGGCAACCUGCCUGUAAGACUGGGAUAACUUCGGGAAACCGGAGCUAAUACCGGAUAAUCCUUUCCCUCACAUGAGGGAAAGCUGAAAGACGGUUUCGGCUGUCACUUACAGAUGGGCCCGCGGCGCAUUAGCUAGUUGGUGAGGUAACGGCUCACCAAGGCAACGAUGCGUAGCCGACCUGAGAGGGUGAUCGGCCACACUGGGACUGAGACACGGCCCAGACUCCUACGGGAGGCAGCAGUAGGGAAUCUUCCGCAAUGGACGAAAGUCUGACGGAGCAACGCCGCGUGAACGAUGAAGGCUUUCGGGUCGUAAAGUUCUGUUGUUAGGGAAGAACAAGUACCGGAGUAACUGCCGGUACCUUGACGGUACCUAACCAGAAAGCCACGGCUAACUACGUGCCAGCAGCCGCGGUAAUACGUAGGUGGCAAGCGUUGUCCGGAAUUAUUGGGCGUAAAGCGCGCGCAGGCGGUUCCUUAAGUCUGAUGUGAAAGCCCCCGGCUCAACCGGGGAGGGUCAUUGGAAACUGGGGAACUUGAGUGCAGAAGAGGAGAGCGGAAUUCCACGUGUAGCGGUGAAAUGCGUAGAGAUGUGGAGGAACACCAGUGGCGAAGGCGGCUCUCUGGUCUGUAACUGACGC
rnacentral:rRNA from 1 species